rnacentral:rRNA from 1 species
CCUACGGGUGGCAGCAGUGAGGAAUAUUGGUCAAUGGGCGUAAGCCUGAACCAGCCAAGUCGCGUGAGGGAUGACGGCUCUAUGGAUUGUAAACUUCUUUUAUAAGGGAAUAAAGUGUGGGACGUGUCCUGUUUUGUAUGUACCUUAUGAAUAAGGCACGGCUAACUCCGUGCCAGCAGCCGCGGUAAUACGGAGGAUCCGAGCGUUAUCCGGAUUUAUUGGGGUUAAAGGGUGCGUAGGCGGGCUUUUAAGUCAGCGGUGAAAGUUUGUGGCCCAACCAUAGAAUUGCCGUUGAAACUGGGGGGCUUGAGUAUGUUUGAGGCAGGCGGAAUGCGUGGUGUAGCGGUGAAAUGCUUAGAUAUCACGCAGAACCCCGAUUGCAAAGGCAGCCUACCAAGCCAUGACUGACGCUGAUGCACGAAAGCGUGGGGAUCAAACAGGAUUAGAUACCCUUGUAGUC